AUCGUCGGCCGGACGGUCGCGAAGAUGGGGGACGGGCCCUGGUGGCCGCGCCUCAGCUCCGAGGAAAGUCCGGGCUCCACAGGGCAGGUUGCCAGGUAACGCCUGGGUGCGUGCGGCGCGAGCUUCACGCAACGGACAGUGCAACAGAAAGCAAACCGCCGCCUUCGCAAGAAGACGGUAAGGGUGAAAGGGUGGGGUAAGAGCCCACCGCGCGUUCGGCAACGAACGUGGCUCGGUAAACCCCGACCGGAGCAAGGCCAAAUAGGCGGUGAGAGACGGCCCGUCUCGAAAGGGCUGCCAGGCCUUCGGGCUGACGCAGUGAACCGCGGGUAGGCUGCUGGAGCGUGUCGGUGACGGCACGCCGAGAGGAAUGACCGUCCGGUGCACCUCGGUGUACCGACAGAACCCGGCUUAUAGGCCGGCGGUGUCC
rfam:Gemmatimonas phototrophica strain AP64, complete genome.